rnacentral:misc_RNA from 1 species
AAGAAUUUGGCACAAGGAAAUAUGGUUACUUGAUGAAGUUAUGAAGUGUAAUAUGACAACGAGGAAGAUUGGGAUAUGGAAGCAUCCUUCACUACAAUGAAGUUAUUUGAAAGUGAAGAAGAAUGGGACUUGACAACAAUAGACUUAUUUGAAGAAGUUCCUUUGGAAGAAGAAAUUGAUUUAAUAAAGAAUUCAUCAACCGAAUUCAAGCCCAAGUAUUAAUGAGAUAGCUUUAAGCCUAUUCAUGGAAGAAGACAA